UUCCAGACUCCUACGGGAGGCAGCAGUGGGGAAUAUUGCACAAUGGGGGAAACCCUGAUGCGGCAACGCCGCGUGGGUGAAGGAGCGUUUCGGCGCGUAAAGCCCUGUCAGCGGGGAUGAAGAAAGACGGUACCCGACCAAGAAGCCCCGGCUAACUACGUGCCAGCAGCCGCGGUAAUACGUAGGGGGCAAGCGUUAUCCGGAAUCACUGGGUGUAAAGGGAGCGUAGACGGCUGUGCAAGCCUGAAGUGAAAGGCGGGGGCCCAACCCCUGGACUGCUUUGGGAACUGUACGGCUGGAGUGCAGGAGAGGUAAGUGGAAUUCCUAGUGUAGCGGUGAAAUGCGUAGAUAUUAGGAGGAACACCAGUGGCGAAGGCGGCUUACUGGACUGUAACUGACGUUGAGGCUCGAAAGCGUGGGGAGCAAACAGGAUUAGAUACCCGCGUA
rnacentral:rRNA from 1 species